AAAAAGGCAAACUCUAGUUUUCCGUGUCUAACUUUGACUAUCCGUCUUAUAUGAAAUUUUUUUAUAAUUCGUAUUUUCAUUGUUGUUAGAUGAUAAAACAUGAUUAAUAUUUUAUGCGUAACUUGUCUUUUUAUUUUUUUUUCAUAAUUUUUUCAAAUAAAACGGACAGUUAAAUAUUAGACACGGUAAUCAGGUUUGUCUUUUUG
rnacentral:pre_miRNA from 1 species